rnacentral:rRNA from 1 species
UACGUAGGGUGCAAGCGUUAAUCGGAAUUACUGGGCGUAAAGCGUGCGCAGGCGGUUUUGUAAGUCAGAUGUGAAAGCCCCGGGCUCAACCUGGGAAUUGCAUUCGAGACUGCGUAGCUAGGGUGCGGAAGAGGGAAGCGGAAUUUCCGGUGUAGCGGUGAAAUGCGUAGAUAUCGGAAGGAACACCAGUGGCGAAAGCGGCUUCCUGGUCCAGCACCGACGUUCAGGCACGAAAGCGUGGGGAGCAAACAGG